GGAGUCUGGGCCGUGUCUCAGUCCCAAUGUGGCUGAUCAUCCUCUCAGACCAGCUAGAGAUCGUCGCCUUGGUGAGCCAUUACCUCACCAACUAGCUAAUCAGACGCGGGUCCAUCCUUUACCGAUAAAUCUUUUCACACUGUAUCAUGCGAUACUGUGCGCUUAUGCGGUAUUAGCAGUCGUUUCCAACUGUUGUCC
rnacentral:rRNA from 1 species